CUGAGUGUAACCACCAGAUCCUAAAGCUUGCUAGGUCGAUGCAGGUGGUGAGAAUGAAGGCUGCUGGGGUCUCUGCUGAUUUUAAGGGCAUUAGGCAGCCCUAUGACCCAUCUGUCCAUAAGUAAAACAUCUAUUGUUGCCUUUCCUACACUCCCUAAAAUGCCGAUUAUUACAUUUGCGGCAUAAGGGAGCACCAGAUCCACCUGAACCACCAAAAUCUCUUUGUCUCUGGAACCUCAGACCUCUAGUGAAUCUACCACCUCUCCUCUUUAUAUGAGUACUUAAUCCUCCACUAGAAGAGUUGGAACUACCACCACUUCUCUUAAAGUUCUGGGCCUUGCGGGGUCCCUGAAAUGUUUGCCCUUUUCCUUUGUCAUCUCGUCUCUGGCCCCCAUUAUUUCCUUCCUCAUCCUCACUUUCACUGGGCAUGUUUUCUGAGGCCUCAAUCCUCAGUAGAAUCUCAUAAAACUCCUAGUAAAAGGCACAGAGAGUCGAUGUCGCUAUAGAACGCCAUUUCUUCUUAGUACCCAAACUGAAACGACGAAGCAUCUCUACCGGAUUAGCAACAACCUCCGGAUCAUAUCUCGACAGAUCAGUAAACAUCCUGUAAUACUCAUUAGCGGACAUCUUUCCUUGCCACAGAUGAGUAAACUCCUGUUUCUUACGAUCGAUAUAUGCAGGAGGAAUGAACAUUUUUCGAAACAUCUUCUUAAACACUCCCCAGUCCACAAUCUCUGCUGGGGUCAACUGGUAAGACUCUUGCCUCCACCAGGAUGCAGGUUGUUCUCCUAAAAAACCAGGUAGUCAUCUCGACCCACCUAUUAGGAGGAAGAUUCCAUUAACUCUACAUCACCUCAAAGGUCUUCUCCAUAAGAUUCAUCCAUUUUUCUGCCCCCUCAUGACCUUCAUUUCCCAUGAAGUGGGUCAACUUCAGAUUAUGAACUGUCUCAAGAGGUGUCCUCUGAUGAGUACAGAAUGCUGUCUGAAUGGCAGAAACUAUAGCUUCCCUUAAUUGAGCAAUAUCGGGGAAAUUAGAUUCAGCUGAUUGACGGGGCUUUCUACGAGGCGGCAUAGUUCAGACAUAAGACAUCACAAGGAUUAGAACAUUCAAGAAUUAUACAGGAUUGCUAAACCUAGGCUCUGAUACCAAACUGACACAACCCAACCAAGAUCAAGGCAUGUUGGCCGUCACGUGAGAGUGACGUAGCCAUGUGCACAGUGCGGAAGCGAUAAUGAUAAGAAUUAUACUAAUAAUUAAAAACUGAAUUACUAGAGUGCACUACUAAAUAGAUAGUGAUAAGAGUUAGUUACAGUAGUAAACACUCCUAAUCAGAGCAUAAAAUCUAGGUGCAAUCCAGUAGGACAAGUACUAGUUAUACAGUACCAGGAAUUUCCUACAAUUAUUUCGAUAAGUCAGAAUCGCA
rnacentral:lncRNA from 1 species